AGGCAACAGAAUGAUUCUAAGGCUAUUGAGGAAGUCAUGGGAGAUGUUGGCAGUGACCUGAGCAGCACUGUCUCUAUCUUGAGUGCUAUAGAGAGUCAAUGGGCCAGAACCCCUCUCCCUAAGGAGGAAUUAUCCAUGCAUUUUCUUAUUCAAUAAGCAUUUACUAAUUAUAUCACAUGAUUAACUAAAUAGCUACAAGAGAUACAAAGAUGAAUAAAACACAGUUUGUGCCCACACAAGGAAACAGGAAGGAAACAGACCCAAGGAAGCACCAUUGCAGUACAAUGGACAGAGGACUAAUAGUGUCACGUGCUGAUUCUGUGAUGAGAACCCAAUGCAGAGUUUCUCUUCCAGGACCUGAGCAGCUUGACCUCAAAUGCAGUGAGUUCUGUUACUGCAGGAGCAGGCCUCUUCCUCCUUGCUGACAGCAUGGUAGCCCUGAGGACUGCCUCUCAACAUUGUGGCUCAGAAACGGAUUAUCUAUCCUCAUUGCCUUAUUCGGAGUACUAUUAUCCAAUAUAUGAAAUCAAAGAUUGUCUCCUGACCAGUGUCAGUUUAACAAGUUCAUUUUCCUCGACCCAGUCACAAGAUCAUAUCCAACAGGUCAAAAAGAGUUCUUCACGGUCUUGGAUAUAAGUAACUCUUGGCCUCAGAGGAAGGAAAAGCAACUCAACACUCAUGGUCAAGUGUGAUUAGACUUUCCUGAAAUCUCUGCCAUUUUAGAUACUGUGAAACAAACUAAAAAAAAAAA
rnacentral:sRNA from 1 species